AUUGAACGCUGGCGGCAGGCCUAACACAUGCAAGUCGAGCGAGCGGCGGAUGGGUGAGUAAUGUCUGGGAAACUGCCUGAUGGAGGGGGAUAACUACUGGAAACGGUAGCUAAUACCGCAUACCAUCAGAUGUGCCCAGAUGGGAUUAGCUAGUAGGUGGGGUAACGGCUCACCUAGGCGACGAUCCCUAGCUGGUAUGAGAGGAUGACCAGCCAGACGGGAAGUGAGACACGGUCCAGGCUCCGAUGGGAGGCAGCAGUGGGGAAUAUUGCACAAUGGGCGCAAGCCGGAUGCAGCCAUGCCGCGUGUGUGAAGAAGGGCUUCGGAUUGUAAAGCACUUUCAGCGGGGAGGCGUUACCCGCAGAAGAAGAACCGGCUAACUCCGUGCCAGCAGCCGCGGUAAUUC
rnacentral:rRNA from 1 species